rnacentral:rRNA from 1 species
CCUACGGGGUGCAGCAGUGGGGGAUAUUGCACAAUGGGGGAAACCCUGAUGCAGCGACGCCGCGUGGGUGAAGAAGCGCCUCGGCGCGUAAAGCCCUGUCAGCAGGGAAGAAAAUGACGGUACCUGAAGAAGAAGCCCCGGCUAACUACGUGCCACCAGCCGCGGGAAUACGUAGGGGGCAAGCGUUAGCCGGAUUUACUGGGUGAAAAGGGGGCGCAGACGGCGAGGCAAGACAGGAGCGAAAGCCCGGGGCCCAACCCCGGGACUGCUCUGGGUACUGGCUGGCUAGAGUGCAGGAGGGGCAGGCGGAAUUCCUGGUGUAGCGGUGAAAUGCGUAGAUAUCAGGAGGAACACCGGUGGCGAAGGCGGCCUGCUGGACUGCAACUGACGUUGAGGUCCGAAAGCGUGGGGAGCAAACAGGAUUAGAUACCCGGGUAGUC